rnacentral:lncRNA from 10 species
AAAAUCUGUUUGUUGUUCAUUUGUUUUUCUCCCCAUAGAGAACAAGGUGAGUGGAGGUAUCUUCAAUGAGAAGAAAGGCCUGAGCUCCCAUUCUCCUGUUACAAACACACCAUGUCAAAUAUUUUUCGAGUCAAUAUGUUUUAAUAAGUGCUCUUUAUUUAUUGGGGCUACAAUACUACAGUUGAAAUUGUUUGCAGACUUCAUUGAUUUUGACUGGAGGUCCCUGGAAGGCAUGGUGGUUCCUGCCUCAGCAGAAACUUGUGUGGCAAUAGGAGUGGAGGCCAGAGAGUCCUUAGGUCAGUCCCAAAUUCCCUGGGAAAAAAAGGGUUAACUGUCCCUGCAUUGAAUUAACUGUGGGGAUAAAACAUUUGUGAAUACCAUGUACACACAUAAAAUUGCCCCUAAACAAAUUAUUCUGGAGAUACGUUAUUCUAGCAAAUGGUCAUUCGCACAACGCACACAGCACAGCUGUCCUUUCUGGGUUCGUAUGAUUCAGAAGGUCCCAGCUGAAUCGUGACAGCAGGUGCAUAAGUGGCCUCGAGCUUUUUCCUCAUUAUUUCCAGCAAACCCCGUCUCUGUCUACUUACCUCCUUCCUUAACAGCCUUUUCCUAACCAAUUCUUUCUGCUCCCCUAGAAAUAUUACAUUCUGCAAAUGCGAAAGGAAAAGAAAUGGGUAUCUGCUCAGUGCCGAUUUCAGAGAGUAUCUACAAAGCUUUUCUCUUUUGCACAGAUACUGCACUGAAGACUCGGAGGGGUUGAGCCGCUGGAGCCACGCAAAUUCAGACACCUCUUCCGCCCCAGGUCACUCUACUCGCCCACGCUGCCUGCCACACCCAUCCGGUUGUGCGGGACACUCCCCGCGUUUCUUCAGCGAUUCUUAUCGGGCUCCCUCCUUGUUCAAUAAAGGUGAAGGGUGUGGGGUUUUCUGUGCAUACGCUCAGGAAGUUGAGUCCCGGUGAAACGUGUCAGGUUGCCAUUUCCCAGGCUGGAAAGAUUUUCCCAGGACGGGUAUGAAUAGACGAUGAAAGUGCACACUCUUACCCGGCUGCCCGACCCAGGUGCCAGGCUUCUGACUCAGGACCAUCUGUGGGUGCGAGUGCAGGGAGGUGUCAUUUCUGAGCAGGGAAGGUGUGAUCUGGGGCCAGAAUGAAUGGCCCUGGUGACUUCUUACCUGAUUCAUCCCACACCAGUCAGAAGGGGCUGUGAAGGCAGCAGCGAAGGAGCCACACAUGGACGUGGAAUGGGCACGCUGACCAUCAUGGUCACGACUGCAAGAAAGCAGGGCUGCGUGGGUUAAUUGGCUGUGUCUGAGGGUCACCCCUGCACAAGGAGGAUGAUGACGACUGCCCUGUGCAACCCUGGGUCAUCUCAGGGGAGAGCCAUUCCCAGGUUCACAGCAAGCACUCUUUUACUCAGAUGGGCCACCUGCAUCAGGCCCCAAGGAAGCACUUAUUAGUAGAAGAAAAAAAACAAAAACCCAGAAAACAGCCAGUGAGACUAUUUUACAAACAAGCGAAGAGCAGCAACUGAAAGCAACAAUAACUACAACAUAAAUCCCUCUGCAAAUAUUUGGGAUUUCAUUUCCACUAAGGAUAAUGAUGGCGUAGAAGGCAUGUCUGUGGGAGUUAUGCACACAGGGAAAAAGGUGGUGAAAAUAAUCAACCAAAAAUAACAAAAUUCAAUUAAUCAAAACAGAACAAAAUAAAAUGAGCCAAACAGCAUAUCUGAAUAUAAGCAUAAUAAUUGUCGUUGGACAAACCUUUGUCAAAUCAAAUUGGCUUCUAGCACACGGGCUGAUACUUUGUGAUUCAAGUGGUGUUCUACCCACAUAAUUCAUUUAGUUGCAAAGAAUGUAACAAAUAAUGCAAUUAUUCCAGAGGAUCACGGUGAGACAUCUAUUUGGUGGUGCCUUAAGCAGAGUGCCCUGAUUCAGAAGAAUUAGACCAAUCUCUGGAUUCACAGCCACUCAUGAAAACUGUAGGCCGGGCACGGUGGCUCAUGCCUGUAAUCCCAGCACUUUGGGAGGCCAAGGCGGGUGGAUCACGAGGUCAGGUGAUCGAGACCAUCCUGGCUAACAUGGUGAAACCCCGUCUCUACCAAAAAUACAAAAAGAAAUUAGCUGGGAGUGGUGGCGGGCACCUGUAGUCCCAGCUACUCGGGAGGCUGAGGCAGGAGAAUCGCUUGAACCCAGGAGGUGGAGGUUGCCGUGAGCCGAGAUCACGCUACUGCACUCCAAUCUGGGUGACCGAGCAAUACUCCGUCUAAAAAAAAAAAGUAAUAAUAAUAAUAAAAUAGGAAACUGCAGUAACUCGGGACAUCUGGGUUCCUUGUCUUUUGUCAAAAUCACAGGGAAUUCAACUCACUGAAUCUAUUGGUCAAUUCAAUUCCGCCAUUGGUCAGUAUGACUCGGCUUUUGACAGAGAGUUUUACCCAAAGACUUGCAGAACUUCCUUCCUGCAAGAUUUCAGAAGCACAGCAAGCAUUGCAAGAGGAAACUACCUUAUAAAUCAUACAAACCCAGCAUCGUGUUCUUUGCUUGUCCUUGCCUGAAUUUACUGGAAAAUCAUGUUGUGAAACCUAAAUGCAAAUGAACCUUUCUUAUUGCAAAUUAAAAACUAAAUCCAUUUUCAACUGAAUUCAAUGGGAAAAACAAGAAUUAUUUUCCUAAAAAGUAAAUAUCCACCACUCCGUAAUAAUUGUGAUCCGCUGUGGCUUAUGUGUCGUGUCUCAGGACAUGGACUCGGUCCUCUGCAUACCUUACCUCUCAUCCUGCAAUAAUCCUGAACAGGUUCCCAUUAUCCCCAUUUUAGAGGAUUACAGCACAAUUUGUAGCUGGAGUGCUUCUGAAUUGCGAGAAAGCCCU